UGGGGAAUUUUGCACAAUGGGCGCAAGCCUGAUGCAGCGACGCCGCGUGAGGGAUGAAGGCCUUCGGGUUGUAAACCUUUUUCGCUCAUGGUCAAGCCGCAGCUUUGGGUUGUGGUGAGGGUAGUGGGUAAAGAAGCGCCGGCUAACUACGUGCCAGCAGCCGCGGUAAUACGUAGGGCGCGAGCGUUGUCCGGAAUUAUUGGGCGUAAAGGGCUUGUAGGCGGUUGGCCGCGUCUGCCGUGAAAUCCUCUGGCUUAACUGGGGGCGUGCGGUGGGUACGGGUUGACUUGAGUGCGGUAGGGGAGACUGGAAUUCCCGGUGUAACGGUGGAAUGUGUAGAUAUCGGGAAGAACACCAAUGGCGAAGGCAGGUCUCUGGGCUGUUACUGACGCUGAGAAGCGAAAGCGUGGGGAGCGAACAGG
rnacentral:rRNA from 1 species